rnacentral:tRNA from 1 species
GGGAAUGUAGUUCAGUGGUAGAGCACUUGCCUUGCAUGCAUGAGGCCCUGGGUUCAAUUCCUCAGCACCA